GAAAACAUUACAUCACAAUUCUCGUGCAACACCCUUGAGAAUACAAGGUUGACGAAAACAAUUUUUCCAUUCUUGAAAUUAUGGAAUGAGCUGAAUCAGGACACGGCGACUGGUGGAUGUGCUUUGGUGACCGUCCAAGUAUAUGAAAUAGCAUCUCAUCUCUGUCCUCACCUGGUCUCUCUCUAGCUAUGGUGCCUUAUAUAACUCCCCCUUAAAGCCCAGAGGUGAAGUCUUUCACAUAAAAUCCUCUGUCAAGUCUCCACCAUGCAUGCACUAGGGGUUCCCAGCUCUGAUAAAAUGGCCGCGUACGGCAAGACUAGUUUAUUUGGUUUGAGAAUUUUGAUGGUGUUGCUGAUGGUUGUUGUGACUUCAAUCAUAAUAAUUGUGCCGCCGUUCUUGCCACUAUUGCCACCGCCACCUCCAAUAUUUCUCUUUCUGCCAGUUUUGAUGAUGUCUCUUCUUGUUGCCCUGGCAUUCUCUUCAGCAUCUCAAAAGUUACCUGACUACACCACCCUUUCCAGUUUAAGCGUUUAAUUCAUACAAACACAUGCAUACAUGGAAAUUAAUGUGGUGUUGAUGCACUAAAAAGUGUAGGCGAUGCAGAUGAAUCGAAAGUUAUAUCCUUUAGCAUAAGACUGUGUGUUCGGAGAAAAUGUACUGUGAAGCUUUUUCUUAAUUCUUAUUCUUCUCUUCUUUUUCUUUGUUUUUUUUGUAAUGAUCACUUUAAAUAUAAGAAUUUGAAGCUAAUUGUAGUGGAUUUUUUUUACCUGAUUGAAUAUUCAUAGUUUGAUAUAUUUUUUUAUUGAAAUCAAGAUGUAAUCAUGAUUGCAUUUUGCAUAAUGGCAGGAAGACAGAGAAGGGGAAGAAAAAAACAGUGAAACAACAUUCUCACUGUUCUUUAAUUAUGUCUUUCUUAUAUAUAUAUUUCCUUUCCUGGAAAGCAAGUGGGUUCAUCUUGCUGGGGUCCGAGCUGACUUGCAAGUGUUGCAAAGGUUACAGGCUGCAGCUACUCAGCUAGCCACCUACCUAGCCAGGCACCGUGUAUGUACAUGGAAAGAUCCUGACAAAUGUUCGUCUCUCGGUUUAAUGGCUAUAUGGCCGAGAAGAUCCUUGUAGUUUCUAUUUCUAUUAUAUAUUGAACCUUGUUGUUCCAAAAAAGACAUUGGAUUUCUAAUAUUUUGGUUUUUCGAAAAAAUACUUUAGUUUUCUCCCUGGAUUACAAGAUUUGAGUUUGUGAUAAUUUGAUUAUUAAAAAUAUAAUAUUAUAUCAAGAAUUAUAUUAUAAAAAAAAAACUAAAAGAGCUCAAUAGAUUAUGAAAUAAUUUACUGUGGACUUGUACGGUAUAAUUACUUUUUUGUCAUUCUUUAUACAAAGGUUUUGCCUAGCUUGCGAGAGUAGAAUGAUAUUUUCCAUGGGGCCC
rnacentral:lncRNA from 1 species